GGACGCACAUGGGGACAUCACUGUUUCGCCGUGCCCUUAAUUGCACAGAUCUCCUGCUCGAGGUUCUGACUAAUGGAACUUCCCAGAAAUGGUCCUCGGUGAACAGCCAGCAGUCUGAAGCACAGAAUAAAUGCAGCCAUCGGAGUGGAAUAUUUGAAAGACCAAAGCUUAUGUGGAUUCUUCCUCAUGGGGUGACAGAAAUGGGCUCCCAUCAGGUUCAGAAGCACGCACAAUAAACCCAACGAGAGUGACAACCCGUGUUUAAUAAACUGAUCAAAUGGGG
rnacentral:lncRNA from 1 species